rnacentral:rRNA from 1 species
UACGUAGGUGGCAAGCGUUGUCCGGAUUUACUGGGCGUAAAGAGCGCGCAGGCGGUCGUUUAAGUCGAAUGUGAAAGCCCCCGGCUCAACUGGGGAGGGUCAUUCGAUACUGAUCGACUUGAAGGCAGGAGAGGGAAGUGGAAUUCCGGGUGUAGUGGUGAAAUGCGUAGAUAUCAAGAGGAACACCUGAGGUGAAGACGGGUUGCUGGGCCGACACCGACGCUGAUGCGCGAAAGCCAGGGGAGCAAACGGG